UACGUUCCCGGGCCUUGUACACACCGCCCGUCAAGUCACGAAAGUCGGUAACACCCGAAGCCGGUGGCCCAACCCCUUGUGGGAGGGAGCCGUCGAAGGUGGGACUGGCGAUUGGGACU
rnacentral:rRNA from 1 species